GAAUUUUUGUCAAUGGGGGCAACCCUGAACAAGCAACGCCGCGUGAAGGACGAAGACCUUCGGGUUGUAAACUUCUGUCGGAGGGGACGAAGGCAGUCGUGGUUAAUACCCACGAUUGUUGACGGUACCCUACGAGGAAGCCCCGGCUCACCCCGUGCCAGCAGCCGCGGUAAUACGGGGGGGGCGAGCGUUGUUCGGAAUUACUGGGCGUAAAGGGCGCGUAGGCGGGCGGGUAAGUCUCUCGUGAAAGCCCACGGCUCAACCGUGGAAUUGCGGGAGAUACUACUUGUCUUGAGUCCGGGAGAGGAGUGUGGAAUUCCCAGUGUAGCGGUGAAAUGCGUAGAUAUUGGGAGGAACACCGGUGGCGAAGGCGGCACUCUGGACCGGAACUGACGCUGAGGCGCGAAAGCUAGGGGAGCAAACGGG
rnacentral:rRNA from 1 species